AUACUUACCUGGACAGGGUCUAUGGACGAUCAAAAAGGUCUAUGGCCUAGAAAAGUAACAUUCAUUGCACUUUGAAUCUGUGCUUUUCUAAGGUCUGUCCCUGUGACAGACCCUAUGUCAUAAUUUGUGGUAGUGGGGGCCUGUGUUCGCGCGGCCCCUUC